GAUCAGGGAGUUUGUCAAGAUUAGCAGUGAUUUGUCUUUUUCGGAAAACUGAAGAAAUGAAUCAGGAAUCCUGGAGAACACUGGCAGAUCCUGCAUUCAGGGCUGUGUGCCCCUAGGCAAGAUAUGAUCCGGGGCUGGGCUGGUUUAGCCUGACAUGGAUUUGGAGGUGCUCGGGGGUAAAGCUCAUCCAAAGAGUGACAUUUAGACUCUGAGCCUGAAGAGUGGGCUUCACGAAUCCCGCUGGGCCUGGUGCCUGGGUGCUGCAUCCUGGGGAGACGAGGGUAAGCGGAGGGUGGGGCUCUCUUUCUUGGGGACCUUGACCCCCCUCCCUUUCUCUCCCCUCCCGGGUUGCCGGGGGCCCAGCCACGUGCAGGCUGUGGC
rnacentral:lncRNA from 1 species